AUUGAACGCUGGCGGCAGGCCUAACACAUGCAAGUCGAGCGGAUGAAGGGAGCUUGCUCCUGGAUUCAGCGGCGGACGGGUGAGUAAUGCCUAGGAAUCUGCCUGGUAGUGGGGGAUAACGUCCGGAAACGGGCGCUAAUACCGCAUACGUCCUGAGGGAGAAAGUGGGGGAUCUUCGGACCUCACGCUAUCAGAUGAGCCUAGGUCGGAUUAGCUAGUUGGUGGGGUAAAGGCCUACCAAGGCGACGAUCCGUAACUGGUCUGAGAGGAUGAUCAGUCACACUGGAACUGAGACACGGUCCAGACUCCUACGGGAAGCAGCAGUGGGGAAUAUUGGACAAUGGGCGAAAGCCUGAUCCAGCCAUGCCGCGUGGGUGAAGAAGGUCUUCGGAUGGUAAAGCACUUUAAGUUGGGAGGAAGGGCAGUAAGUUAAUACCUUGCUGUUUUGACGUUACCAACAGAAUAAGCACCGGCUAACUUCGUG
rnacentral:rRNA from 1 species